AUACUUAACCUGGCAGGGGUGAUCAUGAAGGUGGUUUCCCCAGAGUGAGGCCCAUCCAUUGCACUCCUGAUGGGCCUGAGAUUUCCCCCAAAAUGAGGAACUUGAGAGAAUAAUUCGAAGCAGUUGGGGACUGUGUUUGUACUCUCCUCUG
rnacentral:snRNA from 1 species